rnacentral:rRNA from 1 species
GACGAACGCUGGCGGCGUGCUUAACACAUGCAAGUCGAACGGAAAGGCCCUUCGGGGUGCUCGAGUGGCGAACGGGUGAGUAACACGUGGGUGAUCUGCCCUGCACUUUGGGAUAAGCCUGGGAAACUGGGUCUAAUACCGAAUAGGAUCACGGGCUUCAUGGUCUGUGGUGGAAAGCUUUUGCGGUGUGGGAUGGGCCCGCGGCCUAUCAGCUUGUUGGUGGGGUAAUGGCCUACCAAGGCGACGACGGGUAGCCGGCCUGAGAGGGUGACCGGCCACACUGGGACUGAGAUACGGCCCAGACUCCUACGGGAGGCAGCAGUGGGGAAUAUUGCACAAUGGGCGCAAGCCUGAUGCAGCGACGCCGCGUGAGGGAUGACGGCCUUCGGGUUGUAAACCUCUUUCGCCAGGGACGAAGCGCAAGUGACGGUACCUGGAGAAGAAGGACCGGCCAACUACGUGCCAGCAGCCGCCGUAAUAC